AUUGAACGCUGGCGGCAGGCCUAACACAUGCAAGUCGAGCGGAUGAAGGGAGCUUGCUCCUGGAUUCAGCGGCGGACGGGUGAGUAAUGCCUAGGAAUCUGCCUGGUAGUGGGGGAUAACGUCCGGAAACGGGCGCUAAUACCGCAUACGUCCUGAGGGAGAAAGUGGGGGAUCUUCGGACCUCACGCUAUCAGAUGAGCCUAGGUCGGAUUAGCUAGUUGGUGGGGUAAAGGCCUACCAAGGCGACGAUCCGUAACUGGUCUGAGAGGAUGAUCAGUCACACUGGAACUGAGACACGGUCCAGACUCCUACGGGGGGCAGCAGUGGGGAAUAUUGGACAAUGGGCGAAAGCCUGAUCCAGCCAUGCCGCGUGUGUGAAGAAGGUCUUCGGAUUGUAAAGCACUUUAAGUUGGGAGGAAGGGCAGUAAGUUAAUACCCUGCUGUUUUGACGUUACCAACAGAAUAAGCACCGGCUAACUUCGUG
rnacentral:rRNA from 1 species